CCUACGGGUGGCUGCAGUAGGGAAUAUUGCUCAAUGGGGGAAACCCUGAAGCAGCAACGCCGCGUGGAUGAUGAAGGUUUUAGGAUUGUAAAGUCCUAUCGUGAGAGAAGAAAAUGACGGUAUCUCACGAAUAAGCACCGGCUAACUACGUGCCAGCAGCCGCGGUAAUACGGAGGGUGCAAGCGUUACUCGGAAUUACUGGGCGUAAAGAGUGCGCAGGCGGGCUUGUAAGUCAGAUGUGAAAUCCUGUUGCUUAACUACGGAACUGCAUUUGAAACUAUGAGUCUAGAGUGUGGGAGAGGUAGGUGGAAUUCUUAGUGUAGGGGUGAAAUCCGUAGAUAUCAGGAGGAAUACUCGUUGCGAAGGCGACCUACUGGAACAUUACUGACGCUGAUGCACGAAAGCGUGGGGAGCAAACAGGAUUAGAUACCCCUGUAGUC
rnacentral:rRNA from 1 species